rnacentral:rRNA from 1 species
GUGAGGAAUAUUGCGCAAUGGAGGCAACUCUGACGCAGCCAUGCCGCGUGCAGGAAGAAGGCGCUACGCGUUGUAAACUGCUUUUAACCGGGAAGAAACCCCAGGACGUGUCCUGGGUUGACGGUACCGGAGGAAUAAGCACCGGCUAACUUCGUGCCAGCAGCCGCGGUAAUACGAAGGGUGCAAGUGUUAUCCGGAUUCAUUGGGUUUAAAGGGUGCGUAGGCGGAGCGUUAAGUCAGUGGUGAAAUCCUGCAGCUUAACUGUAGACUUGCCAUUGAUACUGGCGCUCUUGAGUGCGCUUGAAGUGGGCGGAAUGUGCCGUGUAGCGGUGAAAUGCUUAGAUAUGGCACAGAACACCAAUUGCGAAGGCAGCUCACUAAGGCGAUACUGACGCUGAGGCACGAAAGCGUGGGGAUCGAACAGGAUUAGAAACCCCGGUAGUCC